CCUGCACCGGGUCUAGUGGGCUCCACGUCUGCUCCUGGUCCCUUGAUCCUUCCCAGGCCCAAGAAAACGGAUGAGGUUUGGGGACUGGCUCACUCACUGCCUGGCUGUCAAAGAGGACCGUGACAUCUGUGCCAUUUACCAAUGGCUGAGUGGCCCCAUGGGAAAAGACCUGACCUGGAAACUAGGUGUGCCAAAGAACUUGAAAACCAACAGGUUCUGUGACAUGAAUAGUUUCAUUAAAAGUAUCCUCCAUAUUUACCUCAUGAGAGGCUUCCAGGAAGUUUCUCUUUCCUCCUUCAUCUGCUGCCUGGGAUGCAGAUGUGUUGACUGGAGCUCAGCAGUCAACUUGAACCAUGAGGCACACCCAAGGAGGGUGCUGCAAUGAGCUGCAAAGACCCCCAAGGAUCCAUGGAGCUGCCCCACUGCCUGAACUGCUGUCCCCUGGACUUCUAUCCUGUGAGAGGGGAAUCAUGGAGAAGGCUAAGUGCAACACCUUUAAGGAGCCAAUCACAGAAAGAGAGACCCCCUCUACAGAGUAUAAGAACCCCAGCAUCUCAUGGCUGAUGGCACAAGAUUGCCCUGAAGGGUCCAUUCUGAUUCUCUGCUUUUCCAGUGCUUGCAUGUUGAAUCCGGAUUUGGCUGUAGCAGGAGCUCUUUAGAGGACCUGGUCCAGAGAGAGGCCUGGAAGCCCCUGGGGAGAGAGGAAAUCACACCUACAUUGUGACUGAUGAACUAGUGCAGACACCUUCCUGGAGAUAUGCUUCUCAGUCAAGGUGAAGGAGCCAUCUCUAAGUGUCCAAUAUGGAUCUGUUGUGGAAUGAUACUUUCAUAAAACACAAUUAAAAUGGAAAUUU